UGAAUGGUUAAAAUGAUAUUUACGUACAACUGGCCACACACACACACACAAAAACAGGAAUAACUGAAUUUAAGUGUCAAUUCUUCCUUUUUUGAGCCUCAGAUUCAUCAUCUGUAAGAUAAGCAGUUGUGAUCAUCUAUCCUCUGAGCUUAGUGCAGAGCAAGCACUCAGCAGAUACCAGAACUACUAUACUUCAUCAGCAAAGGACUGUUGUGAAGAUUAACUAUGAUAAGGAACUUUGAAAGCAAUGAAACGAGUCCCAGGCAUCCGUUGUCCCACUGGAAGAUAGUCUUUCCACCUAUUAAUACAUUUUUUGUUAGCCGAAUUUUAUGUUAGCCUGUACCCCAGCAUAGAAUGAUGGCUCCUUGUAAAUGGACACCAUAGCCCACACAGACGUUCCCCUCUUCUCCCUGCUUUGAAUUUUGCUGUUCCAUGGACUCAACCCCACCUAGUAACAACUUAUACUUUUCUAGACACAGGCAACAAAACAGUGCACAGGUCUCAACAAAUAAGGAACAUCGAAAACCAGACUUGUCCAGUAUUUUCGUAUCCCCGAUAAAACCUAGCCCAGUCCUGAAUACUCUGGUGUCAUUACUGUAUACCUGUUGAUCAAAAGUUUAAAUUCAA